rnacentral:lncRNA from 1 species
UCCUCAGCCAAUUCGCGGAAGAAGUGGCUCACGCCUUCCAGAGCCACAUGAUCGCCGUCGAAAUAGAAGCCCAGAGAGAGGUAGGUGUAGGAGGCCUGCAGGUACAAAUUGACCAGGCUGUUGACGGCUGCGUCCACGUCAGUGGAAUAAUUCUGACGAAUCUGGGAGCUCAUGGUUGGUCGGCAAGAAGGAGCUAACCACAAAAACGGUGCUGGCAGAGUCCCCG